GCCACCAUCUCCUCUUUAGUAUUGGGGUUAAACUCAGGGCCUCACACAUUCUGCAAAUGUUGUACAACAAGACUUAUCCCAGCCCAGUUCAAUGUUCUAAAGUGUGAGGAGUCUUUGAAUUGAAAGGUAUAUAGUCAGCAGACACAUGAAAGAUUUCAAUAUAAUGUAACCAUCAGAAAAAUGUUACUGAAAGCCAUUAUCGUACAUUCUAGAAUGUAUGAUUCACACAUUCCAGAAUGGCUUUAGUCAACAAUCUAAUGGCAUGUUAGUCAGGGUGCAGAGAAAUCAGGAUCUACAUACACCAUUCAUAGGACUGGGACAGCCACCAAGUGACCUUUGGAAGGAGAAGAACUUUCUAGAAUCAAAACAGAGAACUGGCAUAUGUCCUGCUGAUUUUAUGUCAACUUGAUACAAGCUAGAGUCAUCAUGGAGGAAGGAGCCUCAACUAAGAAGAUCCCUCCAAAAGAUCCAACUCUAAGGUUUUUUCUUAAUUAGAGGUCAGUGAGGAAGGUCCUAGCCCAUUACGGGUGGUGCCAUUCCUAGGCUCUUGUCCUGUGUUCUAUAAGAAAGGAGGCUGAGCAAGGCGGGGGAUGCAAGGCAGUAGCACUUCUCCAUGACCUCUGCAUCAGCUCCUGCCUCCAGAUCCCUGCCAUGCCUGAAUUCCUGUCCUGACUUCCUUUGGUGAUGAACGGCAACCUGGAAGUCUUCUCCAAAGCAGAGGUUUGGAGAGAAGAGUGUCAUCGUUUGCCAUUCUCUCAAAUCUCCGAGUCCCAUGGGACACAACACUCACUUGCUCAGAGGUGAAACCUAUAAGCUUCUGAAGUCAACUCCGGCCCUGUAAGAAGUCCUCCAGCUGGAAACAAGAAGCAAUACUCUAAUUCCCUGAAUGACUUUCUCCCUGGACCAGGACCACCAGCAAGACAAGUUCUAAUCACUUUAAAUAAAAUUCUGCAUUGCUUGGCACAAAA